rfam:Thalassobacter arenae DSM 19593 genomic scaffold Contig202, whole genome shotgun sequence.
UGAGGCAGGGAUCGCCCCCCAUCAGCGCGUCGCGCCCGUGGGGGCCAAACUG